UCCAGUUAGUCCAAUUGAAGGUUUGGGUUUGGCAAUGGCUUUGACCUUUGACCAAUGAAUACGAAUACACAAUUUAACGUUUUUUUAAGCUCAACGCAUCGCCAACAAAAAUCUAACACAAGAGGACAAUAAUUAAGACGAGGACAAGACAGAAGUGAGAAGAGCAAAGACGAAGAUAACUAUUUUUUUUUUGUACGAGUUCCAUUCCAUUCCAAAAUCAAAUCCGAUCCAAUCCAACGUGACGCACGCCGGAGCGGAGCGGAGUUGUUACUAACUAACCUCAAAUCUCAACCUGUCAGUUGGUCAGUUCAGUUUUGGUCUCGACAUCUUUAUUAACAGUUAAUUUCUAACUAAGGUGUUCUUGUCUUAGUUAUAUCUUAAUAUUAAUCGUAGAACAACGUUCUACCUAAUUUGCUGUGAAAAAUAUCUAUUCGUGUGGAAUCAGAAUGGAUUAUCGACAAAGAAUCAGGUCGAACUUGGCAAACCAUCAGGUUUAUAGACAACUGAGUUCACAGGCCUCAUUUUAGCAAAAAGUUGUAAAAAAAACUUUAUGACAACUACUGUACUACAUUUAUAUUCUAAAGACCAUUGUGUUAAUACUAUAAAUCUGACAUUAUUAAUUUGAUUAAUAAUUAUAACCCCGACAAAUUAGAUUCAUUGAACAUUUUGAUUGUUUAAUUUUUUACAUUUUCAAUAUAAAAUUAAAUUUAGUAUUGUAGGGUAUUAUCAAUAGUAUUCUUUUUGGUGAUUUUACUUUUUCAUACAACUUUUAUUGUAAUUUUGCAAAAAAAUAAUUUAUUACCUAACCUUGAUUUUUGUUAACAUAAUUUGUAUUUUAGCAUAUGUAAUUUUCAAAUACAAAUUGUUUAUUGCUAAA